AACGAACGCUGGCGGCAGGCUUAACACAUGCAAGUCGAGCGCCCCGCAAGGGGAGCGGCAGACGGGUGAGUAACACGUGGGAACAUACCCUUUACUACGGAACAACUCCGGGAAACUGGAGCUAAUACCGUAUGUGCCCUUUGGGGGAAAGAUUUAUCGGUGAAGGAUUGGCCCGCGUUGGAUUAGCUAGUUGGUGGGGUAAAGGCCUACCAAGGCGACGAUCCAUAGCUGGCCUGAGAGGAUGAUCAGCGACAUUGGGACUGAGACACGGCCCAAACUCCUAGGGGAGGAGGCAGUGGGGAAGAUUGGACAAUGGGCGCAAGUCUGAUCCAGCCAUGCCGCGUGAGUGAUGAAGGCCUUAGGGUUGUAAAGCUCUUUCACCGAUGAAGAUAAUGACGGUAGUCGGAGAAGAAGCCCCGGCUAACUUCGUGCCAGCCGCCGCGGUAA
rnacentral:rRNA from 1 species